AUUGAACGCUGGCGGCAUGCCUUACACAUGCAAGUCGAACGGCAGCACGGGAGCAAUCCUGGUGGCGAGUGGCGAACGGGUGAGUAAUAUAUCGGAACGUGCCCGGUCGUGGGGGAUAACGUAGCGAAAGCUACGCUAAUACCGCAUACGAUCUACGGAUGAAAGCGGGGGGAUCGCAAGACCUCGCGCGAUUGGAGCGGCCGAUAUCAGAUUAGGUAGUUGGUGAGGUAAAGGCUCACCAAGCCGACGAUCUGUAGCUGGUCUGAGAGGACGACCAGCCACACUGGGACUGAGACACGGCCCAGACUCCUACGGGAGGCAGCAGUGGGGAAUUUUGGACAAUGGGCGCAAGCCUGAUCCAGCAAUGCCGCGUGCAGGAUGAAGGCCUCGGUGUAACUAGCUUU
rnacentral:rRNA from 1 species